GAUGAACGCUGGCGGCGUGCCUAAUACAUGCAAGUCGAGCGAACGGACGAGAAGCUUGCUUCUCUGAUGUUAGCGGCGGACGGGUGAGUAACACGUGGAUAACCUACCUAUAAGACUGGGAUAACUUCGGGAAACCGGAGCUAAUACCGGAUAAUAUUUUGAACCGCAUGGUUCAAAAGUGAAAGACGGUCUUGCUGUCACUUAUAGAUGGAUCCGCGCUGCAUUAGCUAGUUGGUAAGGUAACGGCUUACCAAGGCAACGAUGCAUAGCCGACCUGAGAGGGUGAUCGGCCACACUGGAAGUGAGGCGCGGUCCAGACUCCUACGGGAGGCAGCAGUAGGGAAUCUUCCGCGAUGGGCGAAAGCCUGACGGAGCAACGCCGCGUGAGUGAUGAAGGUGUUCGGAUCGUAAAACUCUGUUAUUAGGGAAGAACAUAUGUGUAAGUAACUGUGCACAUCUUGACGGUACCUAAUCAGAAAGCCACGGCUAACUACGUG
rnacentral:rRNA from 1 species